rnacentral:rRNA from 2 species
AUGGACCCCGGCGGGCGCCCUUUAAGCUUAGUUUGGGGGAGGUUAACCGGCUCCACCCAAGGCCGCCCGAUGCCUUAGCCCGACCUGAAGAGGGGUGAAUCGGGCCCCCACUUGGGGAAUUGAGGCCCCGGGCCAAGAACUCCUAUCCGGGAGGCAGGCAGUAUGGGAAUCUUCCCGCCAAUGGACCGAAAAUCCUGACGGAGCAAACGCCGGCGUGAAGUGAUGAAGGUUUUCGGGAUCGUAAAGCUUCUGUUGUUUAGGGAAGAGACAAGUGCCCAGAAGAAACUGCUUGCCCCUUUGACGGUACCUAACCAGAAAACCACCGGCUAACUACGUGCCAGCAGCCGCGGUAAUACGUAGGUGGCAAGCGUUGUCCGGAAUUAUUGGGCGUAAAGGGCUCGCAGGCGGUUUCUUAAGUCUGAUGUGAAAACCCCCGGCUCAACCGGGGAGGGUCAUUGGAAACUGGGAAACUUGAGUGCAGAAGAGGAGAGUGGAAUUCCACGUGUAGCGGUGAAAUGCGUAGAGAUGUGGAGGAACACCAGUGGCGAAGGCGACUCUCUGGUCUGUAACUGACGCUGA